rnacentral:rRNA from 1 species
GACGAACGCUGGCGGCGUGCCUAAUACAUGCAAGUUGAGCGCUGAAGGUUGGUACUUGUACCAACUGGAUGAGCAGCGAACGGGUGAGUAACGCGUGGGGAAUCUGCCUUUGAGCGGGGGACAACAUUUGGAAACGAAUGCUAAUACCGCAUAAAAACUUUAAACACAAGUUUUAAGUUUGAAAGAUGCAAUUGCAUCACUCAAAGAUGAUCCCGCGUUGUAUUAGCUAGUUGGUGAGGUAAAGGCUCACCAAGGCGAUGAUACAUAGCCGACCUGAGAGGGUGAUCGGCCCAAUUGGGACUGAGACACGGCCCAAACUCCUACGGGAGGCAGCAGUAGGGAAUCUUCGGCAAUGGACGAAAGUCUGACCGAGCAACGCCGCGUGAGUGAAGAAGGUUUUCGGAUCGUAAAACUCUGUUGGUAGAGAAGAACGUUGGUGAGAGUGGAAAGCUCAUCAAGUGACGGUAACUACCCAGAAAGGGACGGCUAACUACGUG